rnacentral:lncRNA from 1 species
UCCAUCCACCUUACCCUCGUUCUCUUGUGCUCUCACUCUCUUGGCCACGAGGCACUGUGUUCUUAUACUAUCAACAGAAAAAAGUCUAAAAAAGUAUAGACUUAUUUGUUCUCGAUGUACAAGAUAAUAAGAUAUCUUUUUAUUUUUCGUUGUGUUAUUUUUGAAUUUUUUUAUUUAAUUUUUUUUAUCAUUUUAAAUCAUGAGUC